UGCCAGCAGCCGCGGUAAUACGGGGGGGGCAAGCGUUGUUCGGAAUUACUGGGCGUAAAGGGCGCGUAGGCGGCUUCGGAAGUCAUGGGUGAAAGGCCUCGGCUCAACCGAGGAAUUGCCUGUGAAACCACGGAGCUGGAGUGCUGGAGAGGAAAGCGGAAUUCCCAGUGUAGCGGUGAAAUGCGUAGAUAGUGGGAGGAACAUCUGAGGCGAAGGCGGCUUUCUGGACAGACACUGACGCUGAGGCGCGAAAGCCAGGGGAGCAAACG
rnacentral:rRNA from 1 species